rnacentral:rRNA from 1 species
AUUGAACGCUGGCGGCAGGCCUAACACAUGCAAGUCGAACGGUAACAGGAAGCUGCUUGCUGCUUCGCUGACGGGUGGCGGGCGGGUGAGUAAUGACUGGGAAACUGCUUGAUGGAGGGUGACAACUACUGGAAACGGUUGCUACUACCGCAUAGCGUCGCAAGCCCAGAGAGGGGGGCCUUAUGGCCUCUUGCCACCGGAUGUGCCCAGGUGGGAUUAGCUUGGCGGUGGGGUAACGGCCCACCUAGGUGACGAUCCCUAGCUGGUCUGAGAGGAUGACCAGCCACACUGGAACUGAGACACGGUCCAGACUACUACGGGAGGCAGCAGUGGGGAAUAUUGGACAAUGGGCGCAAGCCUGAUGCAGCCAUGCCGCGUGUGUGAAGAAGGCCUUCGGGUUGUAAAGUACUUUCAGCGGGGAGGAAGGGAGUUAAGUUAAUACCUUGCCUCAUUGACGUUACCCGCAGAAGAAGCACCGGCUAACUCCGUG